CACCGCGGUUAUACGAAUAGGCCCAAGUUGAUGAACAUCGGCGUAAAAAGUGGUUAGGAACAGAGCUAGAUACUAAAGCCGAACAUCCUCAAAGCUGUUAUACGCUUCCGAUGAAAAGAAGCCCCCUUACGAAAGUAGCUUUAACCCCAACCUGACCCCACGAAAGCUGAGCUA
rnacentral:rRNA from 1 species